UACGAAGGGGGCUAACGUUGUUCGGAAUCACUGGGCUUAAAGGGCGCGUAGGCGGGCUGCCAAGUCCGUGGUGAAAUCCCCCGGCUCAACCGGGGAAGGGCCUCGGAUACUGGCGGCCUCGAGGGGGGUAGGGGCGUGCGGAACUGUGGGUGGAGCGGUGAAAUGCGUUGAUAUCCACAGGAACUCCGGUGGCGAAGGGCGGGCACGCUGGACCCCAUCGUGACGCUGACGGGCGCGAAAGCCAGGGGAGCCGAACGGGG
rnacentral:rRNA from 1 species